UACGUAGGGGUCAAGCGUUGUCCGGAUUUAUUGGGCGUAAAGAGCUCGUAGGCGGCUCAGUAAGUCGGGUGUGAAAGCCCCGAGCUCAACUCGGGGAGGCCACCCGAUACUGCUGUGGCUAGAGUCCGGUAGGGGAGCGUGGAAUUCCCGGUGUAGCGGUGAAAUGCGCAGAUAUCGGGAGGAACACCAGCGGCGAAGGCGGCGCUCUGGGCCGGAACUGACGCUGAGGAGCGAAAGCGUGGGGAGCGAACAGG
rnacentral:rRNA from 1 species